rnacentral:misc_RNA from 1 species
GAUGAAGAACGCAGCGAAAUGCGAUAAGUAAUGUGAAUUGCAGAAUUCAGUGAAUCAUCGAAUCUUUGAACGCACAUCGCGCCCGCCAGCAUUCUGGCGGGCAUGCCUGUUCGAGCGUCAUUUCAACCCUCGAGCCCCCCCGGGGGCCUCGGUGUUGGGGGACGGCACACCAGCCGCCCCCGAAAUGCAGUGGCGACCCCGCCGCAGCCUCCCCUGCGUAGUAGCACACACCUCGCACCGGAGCGCGGAGGCGGUCACGCCGUAAAACGCCCAACUUUCUUAGAGUUGACCUCGGAUCAGGUAGGAAUACCCGCUGAACUUAAGCAUAUCAAUAAGCGGAGGA